AGGAGCUGGAUUUGCCAUCCAUCCAGCAAGGGAUGUUGGAAGAGCAGAAGGCGUGGGCUGAAAUGGACCAUGUGCGCUCAGUGGCGGAAAACCCCCCGGUUUAGGCACCGCACCCAUUAACGGAUUAGUGACAGGGGAUGGGGCACGUGCCCCAUUCGGUUGCCCACAACUGUGGUCCACAAAUAGGGUCUUUAUAUCAGGGUUAGGCCUUGGAUUCUUACAAAGCUGAUGCUGCCAAUUUAAACUCUGAUUAAUAAGUGUCCGCAAUCUUGAAUUCUUCAAGGUUGGAAACUGAAGCUUAUCACGGAAAAGAGGAUUUGCCUCUAUCAAUUUUUUUAGUUCAGCAAGCAUUAUGCCUCUAGCAGACUUAGUAUCUCCAUAUUUAGAUAGCUGUUCAUUAUCUCUAAAGUUUUCCAAUGUCAGUAGUUGUGUAAUUUCUUUAAAAAGUUCUUCAUUGAAAGCAGCGAACACUUUCAAGUCCUUCACUAAAACAUCCACUGCUUUUGCACGAUCCCGCUUGUCUAAAGCUUCAAGGUACUUCUGCUUUCGAAUCUCGAAGAAAAUCUUCAUGGAGUAUCUGUUAUCAUCAACCUUUGUGAACCCUGAUAGGUACUUCUCCACCUCAUCCCACUCUCCAUUUGUUACCAUAUCUUCAAAAUACCUCAUGUUGAAGAAAAACCCUGACUCUUGCUCCAAUUUGUGAACAGUCUCUUUGAAUUUCUCUUCGUCAAGAAACUGAAGAAUGAGAAACACAAGCUCUCUGCUAAGCGAAGACAUAGUUUAUUUCCUUCCUUCCUUGUC
rnacentral:misc_RNA from 1 species